CACGCCGUAAACGAUGGGUACUAGGUGUAGGAGGUCUCGACCCCUUCUGUGCCGGAGUUAACACAAUAAGUACCCCGCCUGGGGACUACGGCCGCAAGGCUAAAACUCAAAGGAAUUGACGGGGGCCCGCACAAGCGGUGGAGCAUGUGGUUUAAUUCGACGCAACGCGAAGAACCUUACCAGGUCUUGACAUCCUCUGACAGCCCAAGAGAUUGGGUAUUCUAGCUUCGGUUAGACAGAGAGACAGGUGG
rnacentral:rRNA from 1 species